UCGAGCGAAAGGAUUCCCUUCGGGGAUGAAUUUAGCGGCGGACGGGUGAGUAACACGUGGGCAACCUGCCUUAUAGAGGGGGAUAGCCUUCCGAAAGGAAGAUUAAUACCGCAUAACAUCAUUUUACCGCAUGGUAGUUUGAUCAAAGGAGCAAUCCGCUAUAAGAUGGGCCCGCGGCGCAUUAGCUAGUUGGUGAGGUAACGGCUCACCAAGGCGACGAUGCGUAGCCGACCUGAGAGGGUGAUCGGCCACAUUGGGACUGAGACACGGCCCAGACUCCUACGGGAGGCAGCAGUGGGGAAUAUUGCACAAUGGGGGAAACCCUGAUGCAGCAACGCCGCGUGAGUGAUGAAGGCCUUCGGGUUGUAAAGCUCUGUCUUUGGGGACGAUAAUGACGGUACCCAAGGAGGAAGCCACGGCUAACUACGUGCCAGCAGCCGCGGUAAUACGUAGGUGGCAAGCGUUGUCCGGAUUUACUGGGCGUAAAGGGAGCGUAGGUGGAUAUUUAAGUGGGAUGUGAAAUCUCCGGGCUUAACCUGGGGGCUGCAUUCCAAACUGGAUGUCUAGAGUGCAGGAGAGGAGAGUGGAAUUCCUAGUGUAGCGGUGAAAUGCGUAGAGAUUAGGAAGAACACCAGUGGCGAAGGCGACUCUCUGGACUGUAACUGACACUGAGGCUCGAAAGCGUGGGGAGCA
rnacentral:rRNA from 1 species